GCUCUGUGGAUCAGUGGCGAACGGGUGAGUAACACGUGAGCAACCUGCCCCUGACUCUGGGAUAAGCGCUGGAAACGGCGUCUAAUACUGGAUAUGAGCUGCGACCGCAUGGUCAGCAGUUGGAAAGAUUUUUCGGUCUGGGAUGGGCUCACGGCCUAUCAGCUUGUUGGUGAGGUAAUGGCUCACCAAGGCGUCGACGGGUAGCCGGCCUGAGAGGGUGACCGGCCACACUGGGACUGAGACACGGCCCAGACUCCUACGGGAGGCAGCAGUGGGGAAUAUUGCACAAUGGGCGAAAGCCUGAUGCAGCAACGCCGCGUGAGGGAUGACGGCCUUCGGGUUGUAAACCUCUUUUAGCAGGGAAGAAGCGAAAGUGACGGUACCUGCAGAAAAAGCGCCGGCUAACUACGUGCCAGCAGCCGCGGUAAUACGUAGGGCGCAAGCGUUAUCCGGAAUUAUUGGGCGUAAAGAGCUCGUAGGCGGUUUGUCGCGUCUGCUGUGAAAUCCCGAGGCUCAACCUCGGGUCUGCAGUGGGUACGGGCAGACUAGAGUGCGGUAGGGGAGAUUGGAAUUCCUGGUGUAGCGGUGGAAUGCGCAGAUAUCAGGAGGAACACCGAUGGCGAAGGCAGAUCUCUGGGCCGUUACUGACGCUGAGGAGCGA
rnacentral:rRNA from 1 species